rnacentral:rRNA from 1 species
UACAGAGGUCCCGAGCGUUGUUCGGAUUUAUUGGGCGUAAGGGUGCGUAGGUGGCAAAGUAAGUUGGAUGUGAAAUCCUGGGGCUCAACCUCAGAAUUGCAUUCAAUACUGCUUAGCUAGAGAGCUGUAGAGGAGACUGGAAUUUACGGUGUAGCAGUGAAAUGCGUAGAUAUCGUAAGGAACGCCAGUGGCGAAAGCGAGUCUCUGGGCAGCAUCUGACACUGAGGCACGAAGGCCAGGGAGCAAACGGG